AACGAACGCUGGCGGCAGGCUUAACACAUGCAAGUCGAGCGCCCCGCAAGGGGAGCGGCAGACGGGUGAGUAACGCGUGGGAAUCUACCCAUCUCUACGGAAUAACGCAUGGAAACGUGUGCUAAUACCGUAUACGUCCUUCGGGACAAAGAUUUAUCGGAGAUGGAUGAGCCCGCGUUGGAUUAGCUAGUUGGGGGGGUAAAGUGCUAGCAAGGCAUCGAUCCAUAGCUGGUCUGAGAGGAUGAUCAGCCACACUGGGACUGAGACACGGCCCAGACUACUACGGGAGGCAGCAGUGGGGAAUAUUGGAAAAUGGGCGCAAGCCUGAUCCAGCCAUGCCGGGUGAGUGAUGAAGGCCCUAGGGUUGUAAAGCUCUUUCACCGGUGAAGAUAAUGACGGUAACCGGAGAAGAAGCCCCGGCUAACUUCGUGCCAGCAGCCGCCGUAACAC
rnacentral:rRNA from 1 species